AACGAACGCUGGCGGCAUGCCUAACACAUGCAAGUCGAACGAGACCUUCGGGUCUAGUGGCGCACGGGUGCGUAACGCGUGGGAACCUGCCCUUAGGUUCGGAAUAACUCCCCGAAAGGUGUGCUAAUACCGGAUAAUGUCUUCGGACCAAAGAUUUAUCGCCUUUGGAUGGGCCCGCGUUGGAUUAGCUAGUUGGUAGGGUAAAAGCCUACCAAGGCGACGAUCCAUAGCUGGUCUGAGAGGAUGAUCAGCCACACUGGGACUGAGACACGGCCCAGACUCCUACGGGAGGCAGCAGUGGGGAAUAUUGGACAAUGGGCGAAAGCCUGAGCCAGCAAUGCCGCGUGAGUGAUGAAGGCCUUAGGGUUGUAAAGCUCUUUUACCCGGGAUGAUAAUGACAGUACCGGGAGAAUAAGCUCCGGCUAACUCCGUG
rnacentral:rRNA from 1 species